UACGUAGGAGGCAAGCGUUGUCCGGAAUACUGGCGUAAAGCGCGUGUAGGUGGUGGGACAAGUCUGCUGUGAAAGCGCCUGGCUUAACCGGGCGAGGUCGGCGGAAACUGUCCGACUCGAGGACGGUAGAGGGGGGGUGGAAUUCCCGGUGUAGUGGUGAAAUGCGUAGAGAUCGGGAGGAACACCUGUGGCGAAGGCGGCCCCCUGGGCCGGCCCUGACACUGAGACGCGAAGGCGUGGGGGAGCGAACGGG
rnacentral:rRNA from 1 species